rnacentral:rRNA from 1 species
AAACACGCUGGCGGCGUGCCUCAGACAUGCAAGUCGAACGAUUAAACUUCCCUUCGGGGAAGAUAUAAAGUGGCGCACGGGUGAGUAACACGUAAGUAAUCUACCUUCGAGUGGGGAAUAACGUUCGGAAACGAACGCUAAUACCGCAUAAUGCAGCGGCACCUAAUGGUGACAGUUGUUAAAGGAGCAAUUCGCUUGAAGAGGAGCUUGCGGCAGAUUAGCUAGUUGGUAAGGUAAUGGCUUACCAAGGCUACGAUCUGUAACCGGUCUAAGAGGACGGUCGGUCACACUGACACUGAAUAACGGGUCAGACUCCUACGGGAGGCAGCAGUCGGGAAUUUUGGGCAAUGGGCGAAAGCCUGACCCAGCAACGCCGCGUGAAGGAUGAAGUAUUUCGGUAUGUAAACUUCGAAAGAAUGGGAAGAAUCAAUGACGGUACCAUUUAUAAGGUCCGGCUAACUACGUGCCAGCAGCCGCGGUAAUACGUAGGGACCAAGCGUUGUUCGGAUUUACUGGGCGUAAAGGGCGCGUAGGCGGCAUGACAAGUCACUUGUGAAAUCUCUGGGCUUAACCCAGAACGGCCAAGUGAUACUGUCGCGCUA